CGCAAGCCUGACGGAGCAAGACCGCGUGCGGGAUGACGGCCUAAUGGUUGUAAACCGCUUUUCUCUGGGAAGAUGAUGACGGUACCAGAGGAAUCAGCCUCGGCUAACUCCGUGCCAGCAGCCGCGGUAAUACGGAGGAGGCAAGCGUUAUCCGGAAUUAUUGGGCGUAAAGCGUCCGUAGGUGGUUAUUCAAGUCUGCUGUCAAAGCGUGGGGCUUAACUCCAUAGAGGCAGUGGAAACUGGAUGACUUGAGUGCGGUAGGGGUCGAGGGAAUUCCCAGUGUAGCGGUGAAAUGCGUAGAUAUUGGGAAGAACACCAGUGGCGAAGGCGCUCUACUGGGCCGCAACUGACGCUGAGGGACGAAAGCUAGGGGAGCG
rnacentral:rRNA from 1 species